ensembl:lncRNA
CUGCACCCAAGUCCUGGCGCCCGCGGGGGCGUGGGCGCGGCAGCCACCUCUCGGAAUUCACAGCCUGGAGUUGCUGUUGCCUCGGGCACCGCCCGAGGGCGGGGGUAGAGCCAGCUAAUGUCCCUGCUAGGUUUCGGAACGUGCUCGGGGGCUGCGGACAGAAAGAAUAUCCUGCACCGGCAAGGCUACCCUCCCUAAAUACUCCCCAAUCGGCCUGGGCGAUAGUCUCCUAAACAUUUUCUUUUCCUCAGUGAUUUAUAACUUAUUUAUCCAUCUUGGGUCACAAGAGAGAUUUCAAGUGCUAAAUAAGGGAGCGGUCACCUACUUAGAGGAUUCCGAACAAUAGACAAGAUCAAGUGGUUGGCAGUUACUGGCAGCAGCACCGUUUUCCCUCUCCAGGGUUCCACAUGACCCUGAAGCAGAGAAGAGGAAUGGACUUGGAAUUUAGCCUACUUCAGAUUCUAGUUCCUGUGUCCCAGAUUGGAAGGAGCUUUGGGGCAGAAAUCAUAUUUAUUCUACCCGGAACUUAGAAUCCUCAGCACCUAAACCCAUGCCUCGAGAACACAGUGUUCCACUCUGGAAUCCAAUCAGCAAUCCUCCUUCUGUGGGCUCUGAAGAUCAAAUAAUUUGCUGGAAUGUAAAGAGGAUUAAUUUGCAAACAUUUCUGAAGUGUCUAGAGAUCUAUGGGCUCUGGUACAGGUGACAUGCCAAUAUACUGUUACUGCAGAAGCAGUUCAACAACGAAAUCUUAAUAAACGUGAUUAAGAAGUAAACUGCAA